CUCAGGAUGAACGCUGGCGGCGUGCUUAACACAUGCAAGUCGAACGAUGAUGCCAGCUUGCUGGUGGAUUAGUGGCGAACGGGUGAGUAACACGUGAGUAACCUGCCCUUGACUCUGGGAUAAGCCUGGGAAACUGGGUCUAAUACCGGAUAUGACCUUCCAUCGCAUGGUGGUUGGUGGAAAGCUUUUGUGGUUUUGGAUGGACUCGCGGCCUAUCAGCUUGUUGGUGGGGUAAUGGCCUACCAAGGCGACGACGGGUAGCCGGCCUGAGAGGGUGACCGGCCACACUGGGACUGAGACACGGCCCAGACUCCUACGGGAGGCAGCAGUGGGGAAUAUUGCACAAUGGGCGCAAGCCUGAUGCAGCGACGCCGCGUGAGGGAUGACGGCCUUCGGGUUGUAAACCUCUUUCAGUAGGGAAGAAGCGAAAGUGACGGUACCUGCAGAAGAAGCGCCGGCUAACUACGUGCCAGCAGCCGCGGUAAUACGUAGGGCGCAAGCGUUAUCCGGAAUUAUUGGGCGUAAAGAGCUCGUAGGCGGUUUGUCGCGUCUGCCGUGAAAGUCCGGGGCUCAACUCCGGAUCUGCGGUGGGUACGGGCAGACUAGAGUGAUGUAGGGGAGACUGGAAUUCCUGGUGUAGCGGUGAAAUGCGCAGAUAU
rnacentral:rRNA from 1 species